AAUUUGGCCUUUGUUUGACUAAAUACCAGCAGUCCCAUAUACCCAAAGUCUCAAGGGUAGAGGGAUGUUUGCAGCAGGACCUCGGCAUUCCUGGCUACUGUGACUUGGAAAUGGUGUGACUGUCAUCUAAUGAAUUCUUGUCUCCAAGGGCCUACUUAAUAGAUGAGCAAAGCCAUGCAUGGUCCUGGGAAGUACAGGCAGGAGGAUCAGGCCAGCCUGGGCUACAGAAGAACCCAUCUCAAAAAUAAUAAGACUGUGCUCACACCAGCUCUGAGCAAGAGGAUGCUAACGCGAACUGCAGAGGUGGUGCUGUCUGAAUGGUAUUUCCAUCAUGGAGUCAUGGAGUAUGGGGCCUCUUACAUCCUCCACUGGUCUUAGCCGGAUCAUGGUGAAGUCAGUUCUCCCAGAGUCUGCCAGAGUGUUGGUCUCUCAUUUGGCCCCUUUCCGGGGUAUGGAAUCUCUGAUUUGGAUUCACUUGAGCACAAACCUGGCAUCUGGCUGAGACAUCUCUCCUACUAGGUUGCCCAGUCUAGGUACAACAUGCCUUAUUCUGAGCAACUCAGGUUUUGUGGGCCCCAGCUGAGGAGACCUGCCAAUUGUUUCUGGGAGAAUGACCUUUCCUUCUGGUGUCUUCCAUCAGCCUGUGAGGUUGAACUGUCCAUUUCUGCUUUACCAUGGAGUCUCUCUCAGGUAGCACUGGGUCUUGAUAUCAAUAGUCUUAGGGCCCUUUGUCAGAUAGCCAGGUCAGCAAUCUCACAGUGAAGGCAGCUAUUUGUAGGGGAAACCAAAUACCUUCUAGAAGGGCCAAGAUUUUUCAAAAAUAUCUCUUCUCCCAGUGGUGAGAAACCCCUUUCUCUAUAGAUCAUACUGUGGAUAUGGCUGGUAGUGAAAGCAUCCUGGCUGACAUUCGGUGUAUGUGGUGGUCGAUUUCCACUUCCCCGUCUGAGAGCCUGGGUCAGAGCAGUCAGUUCUGCUCUCUAGGCUGAGGUACCUGGCUUGGGCCCAAAUCAUUUCCGUUACAGUAACUACUGCAUCUCCUCUGGUUUUGUCUUUCAUCACCUGAUAUUCAUGGGUGAGCAUCUGCAUCAUCAGGCAAGACAGUAACCUAACUUCUCAAACUGGACUCGAGGGUGGGCCAGGAACAGGGCCUGGUACUGGAUUACACAGUCAACAAGCAGCCAACGUUCUGGUGCUGGGAGGAGGAGGGCCUCAACCAUGUUGUGGGUGUUGUGAGUAUCAGAUCUUCUUUUGUUUAUUUUUGUAGCCCUAGCUGUCCUGGAACUCACUCUGCAGAUCAGGCUGGCCUUGAACUGAGAGA